rnacentral:rRNA from 1 species
GGGGAAUAUUGCACAAUGGGCGCAAGCCUGAUGCAGCCAUGCCGCGUGUGUGAAGAAGGCCUUCGGGUUGUAAAGCACUUUCAGCGAGGAGGAAGGGUAGUGUGUUAAUAGCACAUUGCAUUGACGUUACUCGCAGAAGAAGCACCGGCUAACUCCGUGCCAGCAGCCGCGGUAAUACGGAGGGUGCAAGCGUUAAUCGGAAUUACUGGGCGUAAAGCGCACGCAGGCGGUUUGUUAAGUCAGAUGUGAAAUCCCCGCGCUUAACGUGGAACUGCAUUUGAAACUGGCAAGCUAGAGUCUUGUAGAGGGGGGUAGAAUUCCAGGUGUAGCGGUGAAAUGCGUAGAGAUCUGGAGGAAUACCGGUGGCGAAGGCGGCCCCCUGGACAAAGACUGACGCUCAGGUGCGAAAGCGUGGGGAGCAAACAGGAUUAGACACCCUGGUAGUCCACGCUGUAAACGAUGUCGACUUGGAGGUUGUGCCCUUGAGGCGUGGCUUCCGGAGCUAACGCGUUAAGUCGACCGCCUG